CUGAGCCCUAGAUAAUGCCUGUUGGGACUCCAAAUCCACUUAAAGAUUCAAUUGUUUAGCAGGAAUGGCUAAGGUGUUCUUCCACAAAAGAAAAAGAAAAAAUGAGACCCAUUCUGCUGCACUUGGACCUAAGAAUACCUAGAGAUUUUCUGUACUUUGCAAACUAAUUCCAACCCUCAAUUCUGACCAGGAAAAACAAAAUAUUUUCUAGUAAAACAAUAAGAUAAUAGCACUGCUUAAUGCACUGUGCAUUGUCAUCUUCAAAUCAGUUGCUCAGAGUACGAGACAUAAACCCUCAGAUGAUAGACUCUGUACGGAAACUGGCAUCUUCACUCAUACCAACUAAAAAGACCUUGCCAAGAUGUUGCCAAAUACCGACCAAACACAAAAUGCUGUUAUAA
ensembl:lincRNA uncharacterized LOC102012854